ACAUGCCUACAACAUAGUGUUAAUGCACUGGAUCCCAUUAGAACUUUGUACUUAAGCACGCUUAUGAUAGAGUAAUAUUGGGAUGGGUGUUCACCUGGGAAGUCCUAGUGUUUUACAUGCC
rnacentral:rRNA from 1 species